rnacentral:rRNA from 1 species
GACGAACGCUGGCGGCGUGCCUAAUACAUGCAAGUCGAGCGAGCGGAACUAACAGAUUUACUUCGGUAAUGACGUUAGGAAAGCGAGCGGCGGAUGGGUGAGUAACACGUGGGGAACCUGCCCCGUAGUCUGGGAUACCACUUGGAAACAGGUGCUAAUACCGGAUAAGAAAGCAGAUCGCAUGAUCAGCUUUUAAAAGGCGGCGUAAGCUGUCGCUAUGGGAUGGCCCCGCGGUGCAUUAGCUAGUUGGUAAGGUAAAGGCUUACCAAGGCGAUGAUGCAUAGCCGAGUUGAGAGACUGAUCGGCCACAUUGGGACUGAGACACGGCCCAAACUCCUACGGGAGGCAGCAGUAGGGAAUCUUCCACAAUGGACGCAAGUCUGAUGGAGCAACGCCGCGUGAGUGAAGAAGGUGUUCGGAUCGUAAAGCUCUGUUGUUGGUGAAGAAGGAUAGAGGUAGUAACUGGCCUUUAUUUGACGGUAAUCAACCAGAAAGUCACGGCUAACUACGUG